GAUGAACGCUGGCGGCGUGCCUAAUACAUGCAAGUCGAGCGAACAGACGAGGAGCUUGCUCCUCUGACGUUAGCGGCGGACGGGUGAGUAACACGUGGAUAACCUACCUAUAAGACUGGGAUAACUUCGGGAAACCGGAGCUAAUACCGGAUAAUAUAUUGAACCGCAUGGUUCAAUAGUGAAAGACGGUUUUGCUGUAACUUAUAGAUGGAUCCGCGCCGUAUUAGCUAGUUGGUAAGGUAACGGCUUACCAAGGCAACGAUGCGUAGCCGACCUGAGAGGGUGGUCGGCCACACGGGAGCGUAGACACGGUCCAGGCGCCUGAGGGAGGCAGCAGUAGGGAAUCGUCCGCAAUGGGCGAAAGCCUGGCGGAGCAACGCCGCGUGAGUGAUGAAGGUGUUCGGAUCGUAAAACUCUGUUAUUAGGGAAGAACAAAUGUGUAAGUAACUAUGCACGUCUUGACGGUACCUAAUCAGAAAGCCACGGCUAACUACGUG
rnacentral:rRNA from 1 species